AAAAAAACUGUUACUGUAGAAUAGGGCUGCCACAAACGACUAUUUUGAUAAUCGAUUAGUCAUCGAUUAUUUUUUCGAUUAGUCGACUAAUCGGAUCAUAUAUAAAUUGGAUACAAAACCUAGAUU